rnacentral:misc_RNA from 1 species
GAUGAAGAACGUAGUGAAAUGCGAUAAGUAAUGUGAAUUGCAGAAUUCAGUGAAUCAUCGAAUCUUUGAACGCACAUUGCGCCCCCCAGUAUUCUGGCGGGCAUGCCUGUUCGAGCAUCAUUUCAACCAUCAAGCCCUGCUUGUGUUGGGGUCCUGCGGCUGCCCGCAGGCCCUGAAAACCAGUGGCGGGCUCGCUAGUCACACCGAGCGCAGUAGCACAUCUCGCUCAGGGCGUGCGGCGGGCUCCAGCCGUUAAAGCACCCACCUUUCGCAAGGUUGACCUCGGAUCAGGUAGGAAUACCCGCUGAACUUAAGCAUAUCAAUAAGCGGAGGA